rnacentral:piRNA from 1 species
CAGCGAUGGCAUGUGCCC